AUUGAACGCUGGCGGCAGGCCUAACACAUGCAAGUCGAGCGGAUGAAGGGAGCUUGCUCCUGGAUUCAGCGGCGGACGGGUGAGUAAUGCCUAGGAAUCUGCCUGGUAGUGGGGGAUAACGUCCGGAAACGGGCGCUAAUACCGCAUACGUCCUGAGGGAGAAAGUGGGGGAUCUUCGGACCUCACGCUAUCAGAUGAGCCUAGGUCGGAUUAGCUAGUUUGUGGGGUAAAGGCCUACCAAGGCGACGAUCCGUAACUGGUCUGAGAGGAUGAUCAGUCACACUGGAACUGAGACACGGUCCAGGCUCCUACGGGAGGCAGCAGUGGGGAAUAUUGGACAAUGGGCGAAAGCCUGAUCCAGCCAUGCCGCGUGUGUGAAGAAGGUCUUCGGAUUGUAAAGCACUUUAAGUUGGGAGGAAGGGCAGUAAGUUAAUACCUUGCUGUUUUGACGGUACCAACAGAAUAAGCACCGGCUAACUUCGUG
rnacentral:rRNA from 1 species